CCUACGGGAGACAGCAGUGAGGAAUAUUGGUCAAUGGACGAGAGUCUGAACCAGCCAAGUAGCGUGAAGGAUGACUGCCCUAUGGGUUGUAAACUUCUUUUAUAUGGGAAUAAAAUGUUCCACGUGUGGGCUUUUGUAUGUACCAUAUGAAUAAGGAUCGGCUAACUCCGUGCCAGCAGCCGCGGUAAUACGGAGGGUCCGAGCGUUAUCCGGAUUUAUUGGGUUUAAAGGGAGCGUAGGUGGAUUGUUAAGUCAGUUGUGAAAGUUUGCGGCUCAACCGUAAAAUUGCAGUUGAAACUGGCAGUCUUGAGUACAGUAGAGGUGGGCGGAAUUCGUGGUGUAGCGGUGAAAUGCUUAGAUAUCACGAAGAACUCCGAUUGCGAAGGCAGCUCACUGGACUGCAACUGACACUGAGGCUCGAAAGUGUGGGUAUCAAACAGGAUUAGAUACCCCUGUAGUC
rnacentral:rRNA from 1 species